rnacentral:rRNA from 1 species
UGGGGAAUAUUGCACAAUGGGCGCAAGCCUGAUGCAGCCAUGCCGCGUGUAUGAAGAAGGCCUUCGGGUUGUAAAGUACUUUCAGCAGUGAGGAAGGUGGUGCAGUUAAUAGCUGUAUCAUUUGACGUUAGCUGCAGAAGAAGCACCGGCUAACUCCGUGCCAGCAGCCGCGGUAAUACGGAGGGUGCGAGCGUUAAUCGGAAUUACUGGGCGUAAAGCGCAUGCAGGUGGUUUGUUAAGUCAGAUGUGAAAGCCCGGGGCUCAACCUCGGAAUUGCAUUUGAAACUGGCAGACUAGAGUACUGUAGAGGAUGGCGGAAUUUCCUGUGUAGCGGUGAAAUGCGUAGAUAU